CUUCACACGACGGGGCGUCCGGCGCCCACACACACACACACACACACACACACGGGUGAGUGGGUGGGGCACGGACAACCCCACAGGCGCCCGGGGGUUCCCACCCCCCAACACAGGCACGGGGCACACACGCGCUCGCUCGCACACGGCCACGGACCGACUGGCCGGCGAUGGCCACCGAGUAAGCCCCCCUCCCGACGGCCGCGGUGAGAGGGGCUGGACCGCGACGAGGCACGGGGGCCCCGCCCCAUGGGGGGAAGCGGAGCCUGGGGGAGAAGGGACUCCUCCUCCCCACCGGCCCGACCGCCCCGACCCCAAGGCGGACGGGCGACCCCCCCUAGGGGUCUUUAAACCUCCGCGCCGGGACGCGCUAGGUACCUGGAGAGAGGGAGGCGGGCGAGGCGGGGCAGGGAGGGGGGGAAAGCGCCGCACCCAGGCGCCCCCAACGACCGCCGGCCCUGACGACGGGUAACGAACUCCGUCCGUCGCGCGGCCCGCCCUCGGAACGCGGGUCUUACGUGGCACUGACGGCCCGUGACGCGGGAGCCACUCGGCCGCCGGCCGACCACCGCCCCCACCGCAAAGCAGCGCCGCCGCCGCCGCCGCGAGGGCAGGGAGAGAGGGCCCGGGCCAAGCGGCGGCAGGAUCGGAGCAGUGGAGCGGAGGCAUGGAGGACCAACGGCCGGGAGAAAACCCGGCCCAGAGCCGGCGGCGGGAGGGCAAAGCCCAUCCCGAGACGCGCCGAAAACACCACGGGGCAGCCAAGGCCGCGCGACCGGAGACAGAGACGCGCGGGGGGGUGGGGGGGCAGGGCACGGCCCGGCCCCCCCCCAAAAAGCCCCGGAUCAACCCUCGGACCCGCCUCUCGGCGACGUGGCGGGGAGGUCAGGCGGAAGAGAAACGCCGGAAUGCGUGCAAGCACUACACGGGGCGUCGGGGGGCGGGGGGGGGACUCACCUGGCCGGGGGUUGGUGCCCUUGUCGGGUCACCCGGGGGUGGGAGGAAAGCGGAGAGAGAGGCUGCUCUGGGGGAGUGUGGAUGGCAUCCGAGGGACCGGGGUCAGGCGGCUUGGCCGUUCCUUUCCCCGGCCUGCUCCCCCCACCACGCGCCUUCUCCUCCUCCUCCCCCCCGGCGAUCCCGGCUGCCACCGCCCCCGUCCCACCCCCCCCCGACGCCCCGUGUAGUGCUUGCACGCAUUCCGGCGUUUCUCUUCCGCCUGACCUCCCCGCCACGUCGCCGAGAGGCGGGUCCGAGGGUUGAUCCGGGGCUUUUUGGGGGGGGCCGGGCCGUGCCCUGCCCCCCCAACCCCCGCGCGUCUCUGUCUCCGGUCGCGCGGCCUUGGCUGCCCCGUGGUGUUUUUGGCGCGUCUCGGGAUGGGCUUUGCCCUCCCGCCGCCGGCUCUGGGCCGGGUUUCCUCCCGGCCGUUGGUCCUCCAUGCCUCCGCUCCACUGCUCCGAUCCUGCCGCCGCUUGGCCCGGGCCCUCUCUCCCUGUCCUCGGCGGCGGCGGCGGCGGCGGCGCUGCUUGCGGUGGGGGCGGUGGUCGGCCGGCGGCCGAGUGGCUCCCGCGUCACGGGCCGUCAGUGCCACGUAAGACCCGCGUUCCGAGGGCGGGCCGCGCGACGGACGGAGUUCGUUACCCGUCGUCAGGGCCGGCGGUCGUUGGGGGCGCCUGGGUGCGGCGCUUUCCCCCCCUCCCUGCCCCGCCUCGCCCGCCUCCCUCUCUCCAGGUACCUAGCGCGUCCCGGCGCGGAGGUUUAAAGACCCCUAGGGGGGGUCGCCCGUCCGCCUUGGGGUCGGGGCGGUCGGGCCGGUGGGGAGGAGGAGUCCCUUCUCCCCCAGGCUCCGCUUCCCCCCAUGGGGCGGGGCCCCCGUGCCUCGUCGCGGUCCAGCCCCUCUCACCGUGGCCGUCGGGAGGGGGGCUUAUUCGGUGGCCAUCGCCGGCCAGUCGGUCCGUGGCCGUGUGCGAGCGAGCGCGUGUGUGCCCCGUGCCUGUGUUGGGGGGGUGGGAACCCCCGGGCGCCUGUGGGGUUGUCCGUGCCCCACCCACUCACCCGUGUGUGUGUGUGUGUGUGGGCGCCGGACGCCCCGUCGUG
rnacentral:lncRNA from 1 species